UGCUCCUGUGACUGGAAUAACGGUGAACUUAACGGGACCAACCUCCGUUAAAAUCGAAUGGGAAUAUCAAAAAAACAAGAGUGAUUUCAAAGUGCUGUUUUGGAAAUAUAUCAAAGAUCAGGAAGUUCCGGUCGAGAAACCUGCCACUGGUUUAUGGUACGAGCUGGCUGACCUGGAGUCCUGCACAGAAUAUUAUGUGGACGUGUACCAAUACGAUGCACACACCGGGCAACGAGGCGACCCAUAAGGUAACCCCAUUUCCAUUGUUACCGGAGCUAAUCCCUCCGAACCUCCGAAAUAAGCGUGAAUAGAGAUCCUUCCGAGCAAAUGAGAUAUUUACUGAAUUGGGACGCCCCGUGUGUGAUUGAUAAAGGACCUCUGGAUUACUUAGUAUCGUAUCGUGAAACGGGGAAAGAAGAAGUCCAACCCUGGAUUAAUAUUUCGGUUACUGGCGGGAAUAAACGCGACCUGUUUACUCAUCUACGUAGUGAGUA